rnacentral:rRNA from 1 species
GACGAACGCUGGCGGCGCGCCUAACACAUGCAAGUCGAACGGAGCUGAGAGAAGCUUGCUUUUCUUAGCUUAGUGGCGAACGGGUGAGUAACGCGUGAGUAACCUGCCCUGGAGUGGGGGACAACAGUUGGAAACGACUGCUAAUACCGCAUAAGCCCACGAUCCGGCAUCGGAUUGAGGGAAAAGGAUUUAUUCGCUUCAGGAUGGACUCGCGUCCAAUUAGCUAGUUGGUGAGGUAACGGCCCACCAAGGCGACGAUUGGUAGCCGGACUGAGAGGUUGAACGGCCACAUUGGGACUGAGACACGGCCCAGACUCCUACGGGAGGCAGCAGUGGGGGAUAUUGCACAAUGGGGGAAACCCUGAUGCAGCGACGCCGCGUGGAGGAAGAAGGUUUUCGGAUUGUAAACUCCUGACGUUAGGGACGAUAAUGACGGUACCUAACAAGAAAGCACCGGCUAACUACGUG